AACAUAUUUUGGGGACACUUUCUCAACAUUUCUUUGUACCUUUUUCAAGCUUCAUAGAGAGAUUCUCCAUCUUUUUGAGUGAAAGUUUAGAUAUCAUGUCUCAACUU